GAGGGAAGAACAAGUACAGGAGUAACUGCCUGUACCUUGACGGUACCUCAUUAGAAAGCCACGGCUAACUACGUGCCAGCAGCCGCGGUAAUACGUAGGUGGCAAGCGUUGUCCGGAAUUAUUGGGCGUAAAGCGCGCGCAGGCGGCCUUUUAAGUCUGAUGUGAAAGCCCACGGCUUAACCGUGGAAGGUCAUUGGAAACUGGAAGGCUUGAGUACAGAAGAGGAAAGCGGAAUUCCACGUGUAGCGGUGAAAUGCGUAGAGAUGUGGAGGAACACCAGUGGCGAAGGCGGCUUUCUGGUCUGUAACUGACGCUGAGGCGCGAAAGCAUGGGGAGCAAACAGGAUUAGAUACCCUGGUAGUCCAUGCCGUAAACGAUGAGUGCUAAGUGUUAGGGGGUUUCCGCCCCUUAGUGCUGGAGCAAACGCAUUAAGCACUCCGCCUGGGGAGUACGGCCGCAAGGCUGAAACUCAAAGGAAUUGACGGGGACCCGCACAAGCGGUGGAGCAUGUGGUUUAAUUCGAAGCUACGCGAAGAACCUUACCAGGUCUUGACAUCCCGCUGACCGGUAUAGAGAUAUACCUUUCCCUUCGGGGACAGCGGUGACAGGUGGUGCAUGGUUGUCGUCAGCUCGUGUCGUGAGAUGUUGGGUUAAGUCCCGUAACGAGCGCAACCCUUGACCUUAGUUGCCAGCAUUUAGUUGGGCACUCUAAGGUGACUGCCGGUGAUAAACCGGAGGAAGGUGGGGAUGACGUCAAAUCAUCAUGCCCCUUAUGACCUGGGCUACACACGUGCUACAAUGGACGGUACAGAGGGUUGCCAACCCGCGAGGGGGAGCUAAUCCCAUAAAACCGUUCCCAGUUCGGAUUGCAGGCUGCAACUCGCCUGCAUGAAGCAGGAAUCGCUAGUAAUCGUGGAUCAGCAUGCCACGGUGAAUACGUUCCCGGGUCUUGUACACACCGCCCGUCACACCACGAGAGUUUGUAACACCCGAAGUCGGUGGGGUAACCCUUUUGGGAGCCAGCCGCCGAAGGUGGGACAGAUGAUUGGGGUGAAGUCGUAACAAGGUAACC
rnacentral:rRNA from 1 species